rnacentral:rRNA from 1 species
CGUGAGAUGUUGGGUUAAGUCCCGCAACGAGCGCAACCCUUGCCAUUAGUUGCUACGAAAGGGCACUCUAAUGGGACUGCCGGUGACAAACCGGAGGAAGGUGGGGAUGACGUCAGGUCAUCAUGGCCCUUAUGGGUAGGGCUACACACGUCAUACAAUGGCCGGUACAGAGGGCUGCCAACCCGCGAGGGGGAGCCAAUCCCAAGAAAACCGGUCGUAGUCCGGAUCGUAGUCUGCAACUCGACUGCG